UACGGGGGGGGCAAGCGUUGUCCGGAAUCAUUGGGCGUAAAGCGCGUGUAGGCGGCCAGAAAAGUCCGCUGUGAAAACUCGAGGCUCAACUUCGAGCUGUCGGUGGAAACUUUCUGGCUAGAGUCCGGAAGAGGAGAAUGGAAUUCCCAGUGUAGCGGUGAAAUGCGUGAGAGUAUUGGGAGGAACACCAGUGGCGAAGGCGGCUCACUGGACCGGUUCUGACGCUGAGGCGCGAAAGCGUGGGGAGCAAACGGG
rnacentral:rRNA from 1 species